UACGAAGGGGGCUAGCGUUGCUCGGAAUCACUGGGCGUAAAGCGCACGUAGGCGGAUUGUUAAGUCAGGGGUGAAAUCCUGGAGCUCAACUCCAGAACUGCCUUUGAUACUGGAGAUCUUGAGUUCGGGAGAGGUGAGUGGAACUGCGAGUGUAGAGGUGAAAUUCGUAGAUAUUCGCAAGAACACCAGUGGCGAAGGCGGCUCACUGGCCCGAUACUGACGCUGAGGCACGAAAGCGUGGGGAGCAAACAGGG
rnacentral:rRNA from 1 species